UAUGUAUCACAAUUUCCAAAAAAACAUUUUCACCAGAAUAACCUCAACAAUGGUUUUAGUAACACACCUCUCGCAACGAUCCGAUCAAACAACUCUCCACCCUUACACAACUCCAUAACCAAAUGCACAGCACUAUCAUCUUCAUAAGUAUCCUUCAAACUCACAAUAUUAGGGUGAGGUGGCAUAUGCUUCAUAAUCUCAACCUCCCUCCUAACAUCAGUACACAAAUAAGUAACCCCAAAUUCACCCCUACCCAAUUCUCUACCAAGAACAUAUGUUUGUUCUAUUUGAUUCCCACUUGGGUUUUCUAAAACAUAUGGUUUAUACCCAUUUCCAGAUGGGAUUGACCCACCGUUUUCGGAAUCGUUAUCUGUGGUAGAGGGUACAGCACAACAAUUCCCCAGUUAAUAUUCUGAUCAAGAAACAUAUUCUUUAAUGGGUUAUCAGAAAUUUGAAGAUUUUAUUAAAAAAAAAGAUUGAAUUGGGUCAAAAGGGUUAUCAAGAAACAGAUUCUUGAAAUGGGUAUACUGAAAUUUUGAGAAUUUAUGAAAAAGAUUGAAGUGGGUCAAAAGGGUUUAUGUUGGAUCGAAUAGAUCUUGAAAAUGGUAAGUCUUGAUUGAUGAGAUUUUGGGGUUUUAAAAGCAAGAUAUUAUGAAGAAUUGUGAAAAAAAUUGAAGCUUGAUAGACGAUGAUCAAAAAGCGAAUCGCAAAGGGGACAAACAAGUUGGAGGUUGACUGAAUAGAGAGAGGGAGGGGGUCGGGAUAGUUGAGAGGAAGAAGAUGAACCGGGCAUACAUAUAAUCAGGUUUGCUUUUGGACAAAUGGCAAAAAAAAUGAAACCACAGGGACCCAGAUACAAAAGGUUUGAGAUUUGGACUAAAGUGGUAAAAGUGACCAAACCUUAGGGACCAAAAUGACAGUUUACUCUAAAUUUUAUAGUAUGUUUCACAUAAACUAUUGUAUCAAGUUAUUUUAUGUUAUACGAAUGAAAUUAUUAUUAUAUUAUAUUAUAUCAAUUUACAUCGCUACUUUGCGCCAGUGCGCUUCUUCAAUUUUAGGUUUUCACACUGAGGUUUGUUUUCUUUCAUUUUUUCCCUCAUCCAACUACCCACCGCCCCCUUCUUCUUCUUCUUCUUCAAAAUCUAACCCUAACCCACAUGAAAGUGUCUCUGGAGAGACAGAGGGGAGAAGAGAUGGGAGACAGAGAGACCUCCGGCUUCCACACGGUCGCCGCGUCGCACAUGCCUCCCCGGCGUCGACAUGACAGACGGGUCCGCCGUACAUGGUGGUGGGGUUAUGUCGGUUCUCCGGCGGUUGCUAGGUUGUCCGUUGCUGUUUCUGUCCACAUCAGCAGAAGUCGAUGGUGACCGCAGAUAUGGUAUCCCCAGAGUGACAAGGAUGGCUUCAAGAAGCUCCGGCGAAACACCUAGGUCCGCUCCUAUUCCGGCGAAGUUCCCCGUAUGCUUUCCCGAUUAUUAAGUAAGGCAUGAAUUUGAUCUGAGAUGAGCGUAUGGGGAUCACAGGAUGGGGAGAAGAAACUUAAAUUCAAACUCACAUGUUAACCAACACAAUGGCGACCUCGAUUCUCCUUCAGCAAUCCAUCAACUGCUUCAUCUGCAACCACCAGUUUGGGAAGAACAACUUGGCCGCAACUAAACCUAAUUUCGUGGAGAAAUGUAAGAAACUUCGUGAUAUUAAGGCUAGAGUAGCGGUUGAUGCUAUGGAGACUGCUACUUCUCCUACUGCUUUUCCGUUUUUUCAGACAGAACCGAAACAAGAAGAUACGCCUGCUUCUAAGGUGAAGUAACGGUUAUUGUUUUACUGUUAAUAAGUGCUAUUCUUUUUAGACCUUUAGAUCUGUAUACUUGGUGUAGAGGAGAUGUGUAUCCAUUUGUUACUUGAGUCGAUCAUAUACCGAGGUUAUAAACAAAUCCAUGGGACUUUUCGAGUGGUAUAGAAAUGAUAAAAGUAAUUCCAGACAAACUUCUCGAGCUGGUUAUGUUGCAAAUUUAUAUGCUCUGGGUGCUUGUGAUUUAGUCGACGUUUGGAUCAGGAAGUUUGGUGCUACUGAGCAUAUGACCUCUGAUCCUACUUUAGUUGAGGGUGCGUGAGCUUAUCGAGAAGAGAUGGAAAAAUCUGUAACAUUACUCAUAUCGGCCAUUCCACCAUCAUGUGUGUUAUUUUAGUUUCAGGUCUUACAAAAAAUCUUAUGUCAGUCAUGUAUUGUUAAAUUCUCAUAUCUUUGUUAUGUUUUUGAUGCUCUUAUCACAUUUAUACUCACAAUAGUUAUGCUAUGUCUACUGCUGUCACUUUCUAGGUCGCUUUGGCAUUCUAGACGUUGGGUUUUCUUAACUGUUUUUGACCUUUGUGUCACCCUCCUAAGUUCACCAUAGACCGUAGCUUUGGUGUGCAAGUACUGGUGAUACUUAUAUUAUAUGAAGACCAAUCAGGUGUUUCAUUAGCAUGCGAAACACAGACUGACAUCCACUUCAUUCGAGAUGUGGUGUUAGUUCCACUGCCUCAGCUUCAUUAUCUGUGACUUUGCUUGAUUGCUGAUGUUUUGGCAAUUCAGUCGACCCCAACAUUUUGCUUGCGAGUGUGUUGAUUAGGGUUCAAGAGGUGGCGUGCAGAAACACAUUCCGACGAACGCUCCGGUUACGGCGAAGAUCCAGUAACUUCCUUUUCAGAGAUAGGUAUUUCAUUUUAUGCCCCAAAGAAGUCGAAUUCCGUUAGUGUCGAUUUAGAUGCAGUUUGCUUAAAUUGGCGCAUCCGCCGCAACGCGCGGGACGCCAGCUAGUUAUAUAUCAAACAACAUCGAUGGUUUGCGCCAGUUUAUUUUGCGUGCUUCAGAGAUUUGCCACACAUCUUUUUGACUUUCGAUAAGAAACCCCACAGUUUGUUCUUCGCCUCACAACUCAGAGAAAAACUUAUCUCCUGCUCUAUGCGACACGCGAGAUCACCGGCACCGCACCUCUUUUCUUCUCUGGCCAAAUCCAACGACUUCAAGCCGGAUGAUGAAAUCUGCCUUAAUCGUAUGGCUGUUGGUUGUUUGAAGACCGCCAGGCGGCAGACAGAAGGAAAGGAACAGCCGGCAGGACUCCGGCGACGUCGACGGUUGUCAAAUUGUCCUGCAUGUCUGGUUUCCGGCCAGAUCUGGUACGUUGGAGGUCGAUCUCCAGUCAAGUGGUUGUUGGGGGUACUGCUGCAACUAAACAAAGAAGCCCCUUGCCUGAAACCAUUGGCCUAAGAACCUUAAGAUGGCGAUCGUGAUGGGGAAGAUAGUCGGCGAAAACAAAAAAAGAAAAGAAAUGAAAACACAAGAUAUGAUGGGUAUUUGAAACAAGAGAGAUGGUGUGGUUAGAUGAGAUUUAACCUUCAUUCAAUCAAAAAGAAGCAAAAUUAAGCAAGAAAACAAAUGUAGAGAGAGGAUGGUUGAUUUGCUGUGUACCAAAAAGAAAAAGAAGAGAGAAUUUCAGAAAUCUGAAAAUUAAAUGGCAAUAGGUAAAUUAUUUGGAAAUGCUUAUGACGUAUAUGUUAUUCUUUUUGUAAAUAAAGGAAAUGUAAUUAGCCCAUAUCUUUCUCAAUAAAUGAUAAGACUAAGACCAUAUGUAAUGGGGCUUUAUAAGGGCAUGAAAGAUUUUGAUAAUGCCCUUACACCAUUACUCAUGGGCAUUAUAAGGGCAUGAAGAGUGAGGGGCAUUUCUAGAAUAAUGCCCA